GGAAGAGUUAGUAUAAUUGAUUAUGUAAGAUUGCAAGUCUUAAGAUUGGUUCUUCU
rnacentral:tRNA from 1 species